rnacentral:rRNA from 1 species
UACGUAGGUGGCAAGCGUUACUCGGAAUCACUAGGCGUAAAGCGCAGGUAGGCGGUUCGAUAAGUCUUUUGUGAAAGCUCCCGGCUUAACUGGGAGAGGCCAAGGGAAACUGUCGGGCUGGAGUGUGGCAGAGGAAGCUGGAAUUCCCGGUGUAGCGGUGAAAUGCGUAGAGAUCGGGAGGAACAUCUGUGGCGAAGGCGACUGCCUGGACCAGCACUGACACUGAGGCACGAAAGCGUGGGGAGCAAACAGG